rnacentral:rRNA from 1 species
UGUCCCAGCCGCCGCGGUAAUACAGAGGGUGCAAGCGUUAAUCGGAUUUACUGGGCGUAAAGCGCGCGUAGGCGGCUAAUUAAGUCAAAUGUGAAAUCCCCGAGCUUAACUUGGGAAUUGCAUUCGAUACUGGUUAGCUAGAGUGUGGGAGAGGAUGGUAGAAUUCCAGGUGUAGCGGUGAAAUGCGUAGAGAUCUGGAGGAAUACCGAUGGCGAAGGCAGCCAUCUGGCCUAACACUGACGCUGAGGUGCGAAAGCAUGGGGAGCAAACAGGAUUAGAUACCCUGGUAGUCCAUGCCGUAAACGAUGUCUACUAGCCGUUGGGGCCUUUGAGGCUUUAGUGGCGCAGCUAACGCGAUAAGUAGACCGCCUGGGGAGUACGGUCGCAAGACUAAAACUCAAAUGAAUUGACGGGGGCCCGCACAAGCGGUGGAGCAUGUGGUUUAAUUCGAUGCAACGCGAAGAACCUUACCUGGCCUUGACAUAGUAAGAACUUUCCAGAGAUGGAUUGGUGCCUUCGGGAACUUACAUACAGGUGCUGCAUGGCUGUCGUCAGCUCGUGUCGUGAGAUGUUGGGUUAAGUCCCGCAACGAGCGCAACCCUUUUCCUUAUUUGCCAGCGAGUAAUGUCGGGAACUUUAAGGAUACUGCCAGUGACAAACUGGAGGAAGGCGGGGACGACGUCAAGUCAUCAUGGCCCUUACGGCCAGGGCUACACACGUGCUACAAUGGUCGGUACAAAGGGUUGCUACCUAGCGAUAGGAUGCUAAUCUCAAAAAGCCGAUCGUAGUCCGGAUUGGAGUCUGCAACUCGACUAAUCGA